rnacentral:rRNA from 3 species
AAAUUGAAGAGUUUGAUCAUGGCUCAGAUUGAACGCUGGCGGCAGGCCUAACACAUGCAAGUCGAACGGUAGCACAGAGAGCUUGCUCUCGGGUGACGAGUGGCGGACGGGUGAGUAAUGUCUGGGAAACUGCCUGAUGGAGGGGGAUAACUACUGGAAACGGUGGCUAAUACCGCAUAACGUCGAAAGACCAAAGAGGGGGACCUUCGGGCCUCUUGCCAUCAGAUGUGCCCAGAUGGGAUUAGCUUGUUGGUGAGGUAACGGCUCACCAAGGCGACGAUCCCUAGCUGGUCUGAGAGGAUGACCAGCCACACUGGAACUGAGACACGGUCCAGACUCCUACGGGAGGCAGCAGUGGGGAAUAUUGCACAAUGGGCGCAAGCCUGAUGCAGCCAUGCCGCGUGUAUGAAGAAGGCCUUCGGGUUGUAAAGUACUUUCAGCGGGGAGGAAGGUGUUG